GAUGAACGCUAGCGGCAGGCUUAAUACAUGCAAGGCGAAGGGGCAGCAAUGUCACUGUCGUACGGGUGCGUAACGCGUAUGCAACCUACCUAUCACUGGGGGAUAGCCCGGGGAAACCCGGAUUAAUACCGCAUAAAACAGGGGCACCGCAUGGUGAUAUUUGUUAAAGAUUUAUUGGUGACAGAUGGGCAUGCGUUCGA
rnacentral:rRNA from 1 species